CCUGGACUCUGGGGUCUGAGAGAGCCACUGUGCCCCCGCUACACACCGACAAGCCGCUGGGUGACUCUGGGCUUUCUGAGUUUCGUUUUCCUGCUGUGUAAACUGGAGACCAGGUAGAAGGAUGUCUCUUUGUCUCCUGCUUUAGGGAAUUUCUGCAGGAUGGGAAAAUGGAAACUGUUGGAGCCUCCUUCCUCACAUGAAAAGGCUAAAUUCAAAGUGAUUAUACCCUGUUGUUGUGGAUGAGGAGGCUGCGGAAGGAAACAACACACAGGAGAGAAGGAGGAGGCCUUGGUCUGAGCUUUAAGGACCCUCCACAUGAAAUGCUUUGGUAUUUGAGAAAAACGAGCCGACAAAGAAGGCUGAGAAGGAGCAGCUGAAGAAGUAGGAGGGACACAGGAGGAUGGUUUCAGCAGCAGAAAGGCUCCGGGUGCUAGCACAGCUGAUGUUAACUAUCAUAUGAAAAGUUAUUAUUAGCUGGUGAGGAUCACUAACAAACUUAACAAAUCUCAAUAAAUUUAAGAUUACAUCUAGAAUGUUCCCCUUUCUCUCAGCACAAACAAUAAUUUAAAACUACAAGGAUAACAAUGAACGAAUCACAACAAUUUUAAAAACCUCUCCCUUCUUCAUAAAAACGAAGCAGCAGAGGGAUAAUGCUGAGAGUGGUCAAGUAUAUUUUGUUUAUUUAGCGAAUGAUACUGGAAAGAAAAGAUGACGGUGCUCAUUUGACGGUGCUCCUACUUUGGCACCAGCCACCACUGCCGGAGGAGGUGGUACAUUCAGAUUGUGAACUCAAGCCAUCUCAAGGGGAGGGGCGCCAGGGAAGCAGACACCCCGCUUCAAGAAAAGGGAAUCACGUAAGAGGAAGGGAUGGUUUUUGUCGGAGGCUGAAGAGCCUCACAACUCUGGCCUCAAGGCUCUCAGGGGUCUGAGCAUCCCAAUGCUCUGAAGUCAGCUCAAGUCCAUUUCAAGAAAGGACAGGUAAUGCUUCUCACCACAGUGAGCCCAGGUCAGCUGUACGAGGCCUAGGCAUUGCUAUUCUGCACUUAAUUAACUGGGCUUGUGAAGCAAACAUAUUUAGCAAACAGGCGGUUAUUUCUCAUGUCAGCAAAUGCCACUCAGUCCAUUCAAGUUUACUCUUGGCAAAAAAAGAGGGAUGAAACAAUUAUUCAGAAAAUCCAGCUCCUGAAGGCACUUGAGAUGAUGCAGCUGAAAUUCAUGGGAAUGGCUCCCCACCUGCCCCUGACAUUUCAGCUAUGUCUGGUCUGCAAAGGCAAAAGCAUCAUUUUCCUGCCUCUGGAGAGUACAGUACUUUCCAAGUGAUAUUUCUAACAACUGCAUAAUUUUCACUAAGUUGCAUCCCAUUUUCAUGAAAUAUCUCAGUGGAAACCAUGAAGCUGAUAAAUAAAGCAUUGCCUUCCUACUUUCUGUAAGGUUUUCCCUUCUGUGCAGCCUGGUUUUAUGAAUAUUUUGUGACAGGAAGGUCAGGCUAUCUGAAAUGGCCCUCACAUGAGUUUUGUAUUUCUUCAGUCAUAUCUGGACUAAUG